rnacentral:rRNA from 1 species
GACGAACGCUGGCGGCGUGCUUAACACAUGCAAGUCGAACGGAAAGACCCUGCUUUUGUGGGGUGCUCGAGUGGCGAACGGGUGAGUAACACGUGAGUAACCUGCCCUUGACUUUGGGAUAACUUCAGGAAACUGGGGCUAAUACCGGAUAGGAGCUCCUGCUGCAUGGUGGGGGUUGGAAAGUUUCGGCGGUUGGGGAUGGACUCGCGGCUUAUCAGCUUGUUGGUGGGGUAGUGGCUUACCAAGGGUUUGACGGGUAGCCGGCCUGAGAGGGUGACCGGCCACAUUGGGACUGAGAUACGGCCCAGACUCCUACGGGAGGCAGCAGUGGGGAAUAUUGCACAAUGGGCGGAAGCCUGAUGCAGCAACGCCGCGUGCGGGAUGACGGCCUUCGGGUUGUAAACCGCUUUCGCCUGUGACGAAGCGUGAGUGACGGUAAUGGGUAAAGAAGCACCGGCUAACUACGUG